rnacentral:rRNA from 1 species
UAAUAGGGACUAGCAUGAACGGCUAAAUGAGGAUUACACUGUCUCUUGUAGUUAACCAAUGAAACMGAUCUUGUAGUCCAAAAGCUACAAUAAAAACACCAGACGAGAAGACCCUGUGGAGCUUCAAACCAAAACCAAAUUAAUGGCCCCUUGGUUUUUAGUUGGGGCAACUUCGGAGUAUAUAUCAACCUCCGACAAAUCAGUUAAGACAAACAAGUCUAGACAAUUUACUCGACCCAAUAGUUUAUUACAAACUACUUGACCAAUGAACCAAGUUACCCCAGGGAUAACAGCGCUAUCCCCUUUUAGAGUCCCUAUCGACAAGGGGGCUUACGACCUCGAUGUUGGAUCAGGACACCCCAAUAAUGCAGCCGUUAUUAAAGGUUCGUUUGU